CAGAGAUGCUUUGGUGCCUUCGGGAACUCUGAGACAGGUGCUGCAUGGCUGUCGUCAGCUCGUGUUGUGAAAUGUUGGGUUAAGUCCCGCAACGAGCGCAACCCUUAUCCUUUGUUGCCAGCGGUCCGGCCGGGAACUCAAAGGAGACUGCCAGUGAUAAACUGGAGGAAGGUGGGGAUGACGUCAAGUCAUCAUGGCCCUUACGAGUAGGGCUACACACGUGCUACAAUGGCGCAUACAAAGAGAAGCGACCUCGCGAGAGCAAGCGGACCUCAUAAAGUGCGUCGUAGUCCGGAUUGGAGUCUGCAACUCGACUCCAUGAAGUCGGAAUCGCUAGUAAUCGUAGAUCAGAAUGCUACGGUGAAUACGUUCCCGGGCCUUGUACACACCGCCCGUCACACCAUGGGAGUGGGUUGCAAAAGAAGUAGGUAGCUUAACCUUCGGGAGGGCGCUUACCACUUUGUGAUUCAUGACUGGGGUGAAGUCGUAACAAGGUAGGCGUAGCGAG
rnacentral:rRNA from 1 species